UCGAUGAUGGGUGAUCUUGC
rnacentral:siRNA from 1 species